ensembl:lncRNA
GCAGACUUCAUGCAUUCUUUGGUUAACCCCUCGCUGUCGCACACAGUCACACACACGCUCACUCAAGUGUGCACCGGCCAAGGAGGUCAGAGGUCACCGCACUCUGAGCCGAGGCUCCUCACUCUUCUUCUCUGCCUUCCACUUGGACUAAUUUGCUGACUUAAUGACCGGUGCCUUGCAUGAGGUUAGAGGAGGGCGUCUAAUUGGUCACAGUGUCAGGUCUGCUCGCCCUCCUCCAUGACGCCUGCCUGGUGGGCCUGCAUCAGCUCAGGAUUAACGGCAGACGGAGGACAUCACAUAAUCACCCCCGAUGAAUAUGGAGGAGGGCCUUCGGGUUGAGAUGGGAGGAUUGCCAAAAAUGAUAACGACCCCUCCUCCGACGUCCAGAAACGUCUCCGUGGAGAAGAGCUGUGGUUGCCGAGGUAACAACUAAUUGGAACUCCUAAAUGAACAACAAACAACAACACAGAAUACAUGAAUAUGGUAAUCACGAUGACAAUGCUUAGGCUCUUGCAUUGAUUGGCGUUUUGUUUUUGCAUUAAAG